rfam:Joostella marina DSM 19592 genomic scaffold Joomascaffold_1, whole genome shotgun sequence.
GGUCCCAUAGCUCAGCUGGUUAGAGCACCUGACUCAUAAUCAGGGGGUCCAUGGUUCGAGCCCAUGUGGGACCA